ACUGGACCGGAGCGAUGGUCCGCCGAUUCAUUUGCAAAUGUGAGUCACGGCACCGGGAGUAUUUUUCUUAAUAUAUUUCCAGUAUUCAAUUAAAGCCCAUCACGUGAUGAGAGUGUCAUUGCGAGCAUCUUAAAUAGUAAAAUAACAAAAAACGAGAGGCGGUGGGAGAUCUGUUCAUUUGGGCAGGAGUCGAAAAGGGUCGUUCGACGUUACGCACAAUUGGAACUAUGGUUCGCUGGUUUAUUUGCAAAUGUGAGUCACGAUGCUGGGGUAUUUUACUUGAUA
rnacentral:lncRNA from 1 species